rnacentral:lncRNA from 1 species
UCCGUGGGCCCGGGGGCGGCGGGGGCCGGGGAGUGAGGGGCCGGCUGAGCCCACCUCGCUGGGCCCUCCCUGGCGCCCCGCCUUGGGCGGCGGCGAGCGCGCGGGCCGCCAUGUCGUACAUGCUCCCGCACCUGCACAACGGCUGGCAGGUGGACCAGGCCAUCCUCUCGGAGGAGGACCGCGUGGUCGUCAUCCGCUUCGGCCACGACUGGGAUCCUACGUGCAUGAAGAUGGACGAGGUCCUGUACAGCAUCGCCGAGAAGGUGGUGGCAUAAACAUCGGGUGGUGUUCAGAUCCUGCUGCCGGCAGCUCGAGGCUAGGAUGGCUGGAGAUGUGAGGGCCUUUGUCUCAUCACAUCCGAGCACAGCUCAGCAAGAUGCUCUUAGCUAGAAAACAGAUUUUAUGUGUUAAUAAAUGGCAGAUAAUGGGGACUCUUCCUUACCUUGUUCCGAGUUCUGUCUGGAUAUUCCAGCUGUUUUAAAGUUAAAAAUUUUGCAGUUAUUUAUCUUGUGGAUAUUACAGAAGUGCCUGACUUCAACAAAAUGUAUGAGUUAUACGAUCCAUGUACUGUCAUGUUUUUCUUCAG